rnacentral:rRNA from 1 species
UACGGGGGGGCAAGCGUUGUUCGGAAUUACUGGGCGUAAAGGGCUUGUAGGUGGCCAACUAAGUCAGACGUGAAAUCCCUCGGCUUAACCGGGGAACUGCGUCUGAUACUGGAUGGCUUGAGUGUGGGAGAGGGAUGCGGAAUUCCAGGUGUAGCGGUGAAAUGCGUAGAUAUCUGGAGGAACACCGGUGGCGAAGGCGGCAUCCUGGACCAUUACUGACACUGAAAAGCGAAAGCCAGGGGAGCAAACGGG